rnacentral:rRNA from 1 species
CCUGAUCCAGCAAUGCCGCGUGAGUGAUGAAGGCCUUACGGGUUGUAAAGCUCUUUCGCACGCGACGAUGAUGACGGUAGCGUGAGAGAAGCCCCGGCUAACUUCGUGCCAGCAGCCGCGGUAAUACGAAGGGGGCUAGCGUUGUUCGGAAUUACUGGGCGUAAAGGGCGCGUAGGCGGUGUGUCAAGUCAGGCGUGAAAGCCCCGGGCUCAACCUGGGAACCGCGCUUGAGACUGGCACGCUAGAGUUCGGGAGAGGAUGGUGGAAUUCCCAGUGUAGAGGUGAAAUUCGUAGAUAUUGGGAAGAACACCGAUGGCGAAGGCAGCCAUCUGGACCGACACUGACGCUGAGGCGCGAAAGCGUGGGGAGCAAACAGGAUUAGAUACCCUGGUAGUCCACGCCGUAAACGAUGAGUGCUAGACGUCGGGGCCCUCAGGGCUUCGGUGUCGCAGCUAACGCGUUAAGCACUCCGCCUGGGGAGUACGGCCGCAAGGUUA